rnacentral:rRNA from 1 species
CAGCAGCCGCGGUAAUACGUAGGGUGCGAGCGUUAAUCGGAAUUACUGGGCGUAAAGCGUGCGCAGGCGGUUGUGUAAGACAGGUGUGAAAUCCCCGGGCUUAACCUGGGAACUGCGCUUGUGACUGCACAGCUAGAGUAUGGCAGAGGGGGGUGGAAUUCCACGUGUAGCAGUGAAAUGCGUAGAGAUGUGGAGGAACACCGAUGGCGAAGGCAGCCCCCUGGGCCAAUACUGACGCUCGUGCACGAAAGCGUGGGGAGCAAACAGGAUUAGAGACCCGCGUAGUCCCUGUCUCUUAUAC